AUUGAACGCUGGCGGCAGGCCUAACACAUGCAAGUCGAGCGGAUGAAGGGAGCUUUCUCCUGGAUUCAGCGGCGGACGGGUGAGUAAUGCCUAGGAAUCUGCCUGGUUGUGGGGGAUAACGUCCGGAAACGGGCGCUAAUACCGCAUACGUCCUGAGGGUGAAAGUGGGGGAUCUUCGGACCUCACGCUAUCUGAUGAGCCUAGGUCGGAUUAGCUAGUUGGUGGGGUAAAGGCCUACCAAGGCGACGAUCCGUAACUGGUCUGAGAGGAUGAUCAGUCACACUGGAACUGAGACACGGUCCAGACUCCUACGGGAGGCAGCAGUGGGGAAUAUUGGACAAUGGGCGAAAGCCUGAUCCAGCCAUGCCGCGUGUGUGAAGAAGGUCUUCGGAUUGUAAAGCACUUUAAGUUGGGAGGAAGGGCAGUAAGUUAAUACCUUGCUGUUUUGACGUUACCAACAGAAUAAGCACCGGCUAACUUCGUG
rnacentral:rRNA from 1 species